GGAAUAUUGGACAAUGUGCGAAAGCCUGAUCCAGCCAUGCCGCGUGUGUGAAGAAGGUCUUCGGAUUGUAAAGCACUUUCAGUUGGGAAGCAGGGCAUUAACCUAAUACGUUAGUGUUUUUACUUUACCUACAGAAUAAGCACCGGCUAACUCUGUGCCAGCAGCCGCGGUAAUACAGAGGGUGCAAGCGUUAAUCGGAAUUACUGGGCGUAAAGCGCGCGUAGGUGGUUCGUUAAGUUGGAUGUGAAAUCCCCGGGCUCAACCUGGGAACUGCAUUCAAAACUGUCGAGCUAGAGUAUGGUAGAGGGUGGUGGAAUUUCCUGUGUAGCGGUGAAAUGCGUAGAUAUAGGAAGGAACACCAGUGGCGAAGGCGACCACCUGGACUGAUACUGACACUGAGGUGCGAAAGCGUGGGGAGCAAAC
rnacentral:rRNA from 1 species